GCUGCCUACGUGACCGCGGACAGGAAGCGCGGCCUCCGCUUUGACACUAAGUGAAUGGGCCCGCCUACUUCUGCCUCGCGGCGUCCCAGGCCGCAAGGUGGUUAUUUAGGUUUCGUUGGAAGAAAUACACUCUCCUCCCACUGCAGAGGGACCAUUCCAGUCAGCAUGGCAAAAUGAGGAAACCACUGACAGGUGAAGAAUCUGUACAACGGAAAACCACCUUGACCAUCUCAUGAUUUUAUACAAGAAUCGGAGACAUCCAAGGCCAUUCCAUUUCUAGAUCACACUUAUCCCUCAAUCAAGUCAGUGACUGGAUCAUCUCCUAAGGUUUCACCUGCUUUGCAUCAGGACAGGUUUCCACUCCCAUUGCCCAGGCUGGAGUGCAGUGGUGUGGAUCUCAGCUCACUGCAACCCCCUCCUCUCCUACUCAAGCAAUUCUCCUGCCUCAGUCUUCUAAGUGGCUGGGACUACAAGCGCAUGCCACCACACCUGGUUAAUUUUUCUAUUUUUUGUAGGGAUGGGGUUUCACCAUGUUGGCCAGGCUGGCCUCAAACUCCUGAGCUCAACUGAUCCACCUGCCUUGGCCUCCCAAAGUAGUGCUGGGAUUAGAGGUCUAAGCCACCAUGCCCGACCUCUGAUUUUUCUAUAGUGAGAACAUAACUAUUUCUGUAAUAAUGUUAAAAAUACAUGUCAGUAUCACAUAGAAUUUUCAACAGCAGAUUCAAAUAAAAUGAAUACUUGUAUACAUACAUACAUAUAUAUAGUAGAAGGAUAACAUCUAUAAUAGGUGAUGUGAUUACUAUGUUGACUGUAUUUACAGGGAUAGAGAAAAAUCAAAAGAGCCAUUAGUAUUUUUAAUGGAGAAACUCUUAAUCCAAUCAAUAAGGAAAGCAUCUGUUAUGGAAAGAAUGAGAUGUCCAAGUGUUUGAAACAAUGCUCUGAACACACUUCAUACUUCUGAGGAAGAACUUUGAACAAAGGAGUAAACAAGUAGAAUGCUGCGAAAAAUGGGGAGACGACAGUGGCACAUGACACCUGUUUUUUUUUUUUUUUUUUUUGCCAUGGUUCUUUUGGUAUCUUUCCUUCCUUUCCCUGUCAGCCACAGUUCUUUAUUAAAUUCUUUUGAUGCACCUCUCCCACCAACCACCUGUUUGGGACAAAUAAUCUAUCUCAUUGGAAGAUGAACUUUACAAGUUCAAUUACUAAAUCUGAAACAUCUGGAUUAGAAAAUUUCUAGGUUUUUUUUUUUUUUUUUCUGGUUUUGACAUUCUAUAACUCCAUGACAAAUGUUCUUUUUCCAAAUAAUUAAAACUUACAAUAGUUCUCUGUUUAAACUUUCAAAGACAAA